ACUGAAUUGAGAUAUCAACUAUGCGAUGCUAAGAAUUGUCGCGGUUGAGAAACGAACCCUCGAUGGCUGGAGCGGCCGACGCUGACUGCUACAUCAGGGCGAUUGUACACCUCCAAAUCAGGAGGACGAACACGAGCACGUAGAUGUUUCCGCCCGAUGCAACGAGUCCUUCUGCUUCCCAAUCGGGGGCGGGCAAAAAUAGCAUUGCGGUGGCCGUUUCAUGAUCCGCGAUCUGCAAGCUUGUCUCUCUUUGUCCGUCGUUAAUUCUUCGAUGCCUUCGUCAGCGACAGGGAGAAAUCGUAGGUGAUGAUUCUUUUAUUUGGUCCUGGGAGCUCGAACUCCCCCUGCAGAAAAUGGUGCCGGGGAACACAAGCAGAACCCUCAGCUCAUACAGGUAGCAGUUCUCUACGAACUGAUACGAGCUACCCUCGUAGGUGAUCUUCUUCUACCAUAAAUUUGAAGGAGUCAAAUUUUCUACCAUAAAUUUGUACAAUCUGCAUACAGAAGAAGUAUAUAUUUCUAGCAAUAUUUUCUUGUCAGGGAGAUAACGCUUAUUCAAUGCAUAAGAAGGAGAAAAGAUAAACUAGGAUAACAUGAUGGAAGUUCUGUGGUGAAUAUGGAGAAAAAUGGGAAAAAAAAAACUAGGUGCAGUAUGGCUGCUUGUCUGCCCAACAAUCUACCACUCUCUAUGGUGGUUUGCUGGAUCUGCACAUAUAUGUUUUAGGUGAAGUAGGAGUGUGCAAAUGUUGAUAAUGGCCCUUGAGUACAUAUGGUCAGCAACGCACAUCUUGGAGUGAUCUCAAUGGCAAGAUGUUCUGCAGAACAGAAAGAUUCCAAAGUAUUAUAUAGUUGGGGUUCCGUCAAGAAACACAAAGAAGUUGUGUAUAUGGUCAAGCUGUGGCCAACCUGGCCACUUUCCUCUUUUGCAAUGCCUUUGAGAUAAGAGACCAUCUGCUAGCUUUGCCUUGCGGCGUCGGCAUGGACAAGAAUUUGAAGAUGGACUGGAGAAGGGAAAUGGUGAUUGCUCUUGCUUCCCUCAGAAUCUCGGUCACCAUCCAUGAGUCCUUGCCGUUGGUACAACAUGAGACAUACUUGUCAUCCAUCUGCUUCAGUAAUUUGAAGAUACUCUUGAUACCCUUCUCUGCCUUCUUGUCAAAACGAAUUCUCUCAUGAUGCCAAGCAAGUCCAGCAGCCUGACAGAUCCGUCCAACUCCACUUCCACACUUUCUUUUUCUUGUAUGUUGGAAUAUUUGCUCAUAGGCAAGUGGAGAAGCUCCUCGAUGCACUCGUACAAACCUCCGAGCGCUCUCAAUCCCUCGCAUAUAGUUUGGGCUGAUAAACAGGAUUGAGCCACCAAAGACUUGAGCUUCUGCAUCUCUUCCUCUACUCUGAGCUUGAGAGGGUGAUCUCUAGAUGGCAUGCUGAUGGAUCUGACAUGGUAAGGCUGAUUAGGUGUUGCAGGACAACCAGCCAUAUCCACCAGUAUGUUGUUGGAAGGCCUUUGGAAUGGAUUGCCAAAUGAAGAGUAGAGCAAAAACGAUGGGAAGAUGUGAACAAGCCUGGAACUUCCCCUACUUAUAGUCCCUAUUUCAUAAAGCAGAUGGGAGGCAAGUGGAAUCUAACCAGCCGAGCUCAAUAUGAUAUGCCAAUCUUGGAAUUUGGAUCUUGUAGCCUCAUCUCUGAUCAGAUAUCAAUUUGGUAGCUGCACAACUAAUUCGACUCCUCCGUCAUCUAAGUCACAUGGAUACGUACUUGAAAGAAGCAUGAUAUGUCCCUUUUCCAUCCCUCUACUUCCUGUCGCGUGCCACAUAACCUCCUUUUCCGUGCAUUGAAGAGAAACGACCACCUGCAAGUCUUCAUUCUCCCUGUCUGCAUUGUCAAGAAAGAUGACACCAGAUGAUGCAGAGGCAGUUGUGAUUGGAUUCAGAUCCCCAGAGAUUCUACCCACAAUAGGCGGUCUUUCGAAUUACCACAUAAAUCCGGCAUCGACUCAUCUUCCAGCCAUUUCCACUGCAUGUAAAAGUGAAGGCUUGGUUGCAUGGCGACUGAACAAGCCCCUCAUUGAUUCGUGUGCAGCUGCAAUCUCUCUCAACCACUUGAAUAUAUUGAAAGGCAUAUCAGCAUAACAACUGAAGAAGCGGAAAGGAAAUGAGCGUGGGGUUUCAUGCUUUUGCUCCUCUGCUUUUAAGACAUCAACAUCCACAUCUUUAGGUUGGUCAGAUGGGAAACGACAAGAAUAGCGGUAUUUAUUUUCUUUACUCUCCCACUCUUUCGUGAGUUGCUAGGUGCUGCUAUCCCAUGUGAUGUCAAGGUGGUUCUUGGCUUGCAAUGUAUUUCUUUUACUGACAUCUUCCAAAUAGGUCAGCGGUCAUUUCUGUUUCUGUAAUUCUUGAAGAAAUGGAUGCCUGGCACUUUGUUCAUCGCCCAACAUGUCAUGUCCCAUCAAUUACCAGCAAGAUGCAAGACCUGAGACCAACAACUUUUAUAUGGUUCAAUGCAGUCAGAAACACACAAAGAAUCUGAUCAAGACAUAUGUUACGGCAUUAGAAUAUAUUAACUCCUCAACUAAAGUAUUUGUUUAUGAUGCACAGGUGCAGUAUGGCUGCUUGUCUGCCCAACAAUCUACCACUCUCUAUGGUGGUUUGCUGGAUCUGCACAUAUAUGUUUCAGGUGAAGUAGGAGUGUGCACAUGUUGAUAAUGGCCCUUGAGUACAUAUGGUCAGCAACACACAUCUUGGAGUGAUCUCAAUGGCAAGAUGUUCUGCAGAACAGAAAGAUUCCAAAGUAUUUUAUAGUUGGGGUUCCUUCAAGAAACACAAAGAAGUUGUGUAUAUGGUCAAGCUGUGGCCAACCUGGCCACUUUCCUCUUUUGCAAUGCCUUUGAGAUAAGAGACCAUCUGCUAGCUUUGCCUUGCGGCGUCGGCAUGGACAAGAAUUUGAAGAUGGACUGGAGAAGGGAAAUGGUGAUUGCUCUUGCUUCCCUCAGAAUCUCGGUCACCAUCCAUGAGUCCUUGCCGUUGGUACAACAUGAGACAUACUUGUCAUCCAUCUGCUUCAGUAAUUUGAAGAUACUCUUGAUACCCUUCUCUGCCUUCUUGUCAAAACGAAUUCUCUCAUGAUGCCAAGCAAGUCCAGCAGCCUGACAGAUCCGUCCAACUCCACUUCCACACUUUCUUUUUCUUGUAUGUUGGAAUAUUUGCUCAUAGGCAAGUGGAGAAGCUCCUCGAUGCACUCGUACAAACCUCCGAGCGCUCUCAAUCCCUCGCAUAUAGUUUGGGCUGAUAAACAGGAUUGAGCCACCAAAGACUUGAGCUUCUGCAUCUCUUCCUCUACUCUGAGCUUGAGAGGGUGAUCUCUAGAUGGCAUGCUGAUGGAUCUGACAUGGUAAGGCUGAUUAGGUGUUGCAGGACAACCAGCCAUAUCCACCAGUAUGUUGUUGGAAGGCCUUUGGAAUGGAUUGCCAAAUGAAGAGUAGAGCAAAAACGAUGGGAAGAUGUGAACAAGCCUGGAACUUCCCCUACUUAUAGUCCCUAUUUCAUAAAGCAGAUGGGAUGCAAGUGGAAUCUAACCAGCCGAGCUCAAUAUGAUAUGCCAAUCUUGGAAUUUGGAUCUUGUAGCCUCAUCUCUGAUCAGAUAUCAAUUUGGUAGCUGCACAACUAAUUCGACUCCUCCGUCAUCUAAGUCACAUGGAUACGUACUUGAAAGAAGCAUGAUAUGUCCCUUUUCCAUCCCUCUAAUUCCUGUCGCGUGCCACAUAACCUCCUUUUCCGUGCAUUGAAGAGAAACGACCACCUGCAAGUCUUCAUUCUCCCUGUCUGCAUUGUCAAGAAAGAUGACACCAGAUGAUGCAGAGGCAGUUGUGAUUGGAUUCAGAUCCCCAGAGAUUCUAUCCACAAUAGGCGGUCUUUCGAAUUACCACAUAAAUCCGGCAUCGACUCAUCUUCCAGCCAUUUCCACUGCAUGUAAAAGUGAAGGCUUGGUUGCAUGGCGACUGAACAAGCCCCUCAUUGAUUCGUGUGCAGCUGCAAUCUCUCUCAACCACUUGAAUAUAUUGAAAGGCAUAUCAGCAUAACAACUGAAGAAGCGGAAAGGAAAUGAGCGUGGGGUUUCAUGCUUUUGCUCCUCUGCUUUUAAGACAUCAACAUCCACAUCUUUAGGUUGGUCAGAUGGGAAACGACAAGAAUAGCGGUAUUUAUUUUCUUUACUCUCCCACUCUUUCGUGAGUUGCUAGGUGCUGCUAUCCCAUGUGAUGUCAAGGUGGUUCUUGGCUUGCAAUGUAUUUCUUUUACUGACAUCUUCCAAAUAGGUCAGCGGUCAUUUCUGUUUCUGUAAUUCUUGAAGAAAUGGAUGCCUGGCACUUUGUUCAUCGCCCAACAUGUCAUGUCCCAUCAAUUACCAGCAAGAUGCAAGACCUGAGACCAACAACUUUUAUAUGGUUCAAUGCAGUCAGAAACACACAAAGAAUCUGAUCAAGACAUAUGUUACGGCAUUAGAAUAUAUUAACUCCUCAACUAAAGUAUUUGUUUAUGAUGCACAGGUGCAGUAUUGCUGCUUGUCUGCCCAACAAUCUACCACUCUCUAUGGUGGUUUGCUGGAUCUGCACAUAUAUGUUUCAGGUGAAGUAGGAGUGUGCACAUGUUGAUAAUGGCCCUUGAGUACAUAUGGUCAGCAACACACAUCUUGGAGUGAUCUCAAUGGCAAGAUGUUCUGCAGAACAGAAAGAUUCCAAAGUAUUUUAUAGUUGGGGUUCCUUCAAGAAAUACAAAGAAGUUGUGUAUAUGGUCAAGUUGUGGCCAACCUGGCCACUUUCCUCUUUUGCAAUGCCUUUGAGAUAAGAGACCAUCUGCUAGCUUUGCCUUGCGGCGUCGGCAUGGGCAAGAAUUUGAAGAUGGACUGGAGAAGGGAAAUGGUGAUUGCUCUUGCUUCCCUCAGAAUCUCGGUCACCAUCCAUGAGUCCUUGCCGUUGGUACAACAUGAGACAUACUUGUCAUCCAUCUGCUUCAGUAAUUUGAAGAUACUCUUGAUACCCUUCUCUGCCUUCUUGUCAAAACGAAUUCUCUCAUGAUGCCAAGCAAGUCCAGCAGCCUGACAGAUCCGUCCAACUCCACUUCCACACUUUCUUUUUCUUGUAUGUUGGAAUAUUUGCUCAUAGGCAAGUGGAGAAGCUCCUCGAUGCACUCGUACAAACCUCCGAGCGCUCUCAAUCCCUCGCAUAUAGUUUGGGCUGAUAAACAGGAUUGAGCCACCAAAGACUUGAGCUUCUGCAUCUCUUCCUCUACUCUGAGCUUGAGAGGGUGAUCUCUAGAUGGCAUGCUGAUGGAUCUGACAUGGUAAGGCUGAUUAGGUGUUGCAGGACAACCAGCCAUAUCCACCAGUAUGUUGUUGGAAGGCCUUUGGAAUGGAUUGCCAAAUGAAGAGUAGAGCAAAAACGAUGGGAAGAUGUGAACAAGCCUGGAACUUCCCCUACUUAUAGUCCCUAUUUCAUAAAGCAGAUGGGAGGCAAGUGGAAUCUAACCAGCCGAGCUCAAUAUGAUAUGCCAAUCUUGGAAUUUGGAUCUUGUAGCCUCAUCUCUGAUCAGAUAUCAAUUUGGUAGCUGCACAACUAAUUCGACUCCUCCGUCAUCUAAGUCACAUGGAUACGUACUUGAAAGAAGCAUGAUAUGUCCCUUUUCCAUCCCUCUACUUCCUGUCGCGUGCCACAUAACCUCCUUUUCUGUGCAUUGAAGAGAAACGACCACCUGCAAGUCUUCAUUCUCCCUGUCUGCAUUGUCAAGAAAGAUGACACCAGAUGAAGCAGAGGCAGUUGUGAUUGUAUUCAGAUCCCCAGAGAUUCUACCCACAAUAGCAAAGCGAAUGUGAGCAUUCACUUCUUCGAGCGCAGCAUCAUCUCAUCUUGGAUGUGUUUUUUGACUGUGGCCAGGCGGUCUUUCGAAUUACCACAUAAAUCCGGCAUCGACUCAUCUUCCAGCCAUUUCCACUGCAUGUAAAAGUGAAGGCUUGGUUGCAUGGCGACUGAACAAGCCCCUCAUUGAUUCGUGUGCAGCUGCAAUCUCUCUCAACCACUUGAAUAUAUUGAAAGGCAUAUCAGCAUAACAACUGAAGAAGACGAAAGGAAAUAUGUGUGUGGGGUUUCAUUCUUUUGCUUCCCUACUUAUAAGGCAACAACAUCCGCAUCUUUAGGUUGGUCAGAUGGGAAACGACAAGAAUAGCGGUAUAUCUUUUCUUUAGUCUGCCGCUCUUUCGUGAGUUGCUAGGUGCUGCUAUCCCAUGUGAUGUGAAGGUGGUUCUUGGCUUGCAUUGUAAUUCUUUUGCUGACAUCUUCCAAACAGGUCAGCGAUCAUUUCUGUUUCUGUAAUUCUUAAAGAAAUGGAUGCCCGGCACUUUGUUCAUCACCCAACAUGUCAUGUCCCACCAAUCAGCUGCAAGAUGCAAUCACAUGGAUCAAUGCAGCCAAAAACACACACACACAAUCUGUUCUUGACGUGUCACGGCAUUAGCAUAUAUUAACUCCUCAACUGAAGUAUUUUUUUUAUGAUGCA